rnacentral:rRNA from 1 species
GAUGAACGCUGGCGGCGUGCUUAACACAUGCAAGUCGAACGGAAAGGCCCAAGCUUGCUUGGGCACUCGAGUGGUGAACGGGUGAGUAACACGCGGGUGAUCUGCCCUGCACUUCGGGAUAUGCCUAGGAAACUGGAUCUAAUAUAGGAUAGGACCACAUUUGGGACGGUGUGGUGGAAAGUGUUGCGGUGUGGGAUGAGCUCGAGGCCUACCAGCGUGUUGGUGGGGUAAUGGCCUACCAAGGCGUCGGCGGGUAGCCGGCCUGAGAGGGUGUAAGGCCACAUUGGGCCUGAGGUGGGAGCCAGAGGGCUACGGGAGGAAUCGGGGGAAAAUAGUGCACAAUGGGCGGAAGCCUGAUACAGGGACGCCGCGUGGGGGAUGACGGCCUUCGGGUUGUAAACUGUUUGCGAGAGGAACGAACCGAAAGUGACGGUACCUGGACAAAAAGCAACGGCUAACUACGUG